rnacentral:rRNA from 1 species
UUAUGAGGGAAGAAGUUUAUGACAUUUACCUCAUGAAUAAGGGGCUCCCAAUUCUGUGCCAGCAGGAGCGGUAAUACAGAAGCCCCGAGCAUUACCCGGAUUUACUGGGCGUAAAGGGUGUGUAGGUGGUGUGAUUAGUCGGAUGUAAAAUCCUGGGGCUUAACCUCAGGCUCGCGUUCGAAACGGUCACACUCGAGGAAGUGAGGGGUGUACGGAACUCAAGGUGUAGGGGUGAAAUCCGUUGAUAUCUUGGGGAACACCAAAAGCGAAGGCAGUGCACUGGCACUUUCCUGACACUGAAACACGAAAGCGUGGGUAGCGAAUCGGAUUAGAUACCCGAGUAGUCCACGCCCUAAACGCUGUCUGCUAGCUAUGAGGAGUAUCGACCCUCUUCGUGGCGUAGGUAACCCGUUAAGCAGACCGCCUGGGUAGUACGAGCGCAAGCUUAAAACUCAAAGGAAUAGACGGGGGCUCGCACAAGCGGUGGAUCAUGGGGCUUAAUUCGUCACUAAGCGAGGAACCUUACCGAGGCUAGAAAUCCUACUGCACGCUCCCUGAAAGGGGAGAAGCCUUCGAGGGUGUAGGACAGGUGAUGCAUGGCCGUCGUCAGUUCGUGGCUUGAGCUGUUCCCUUAAGUGGGGAAACGAACGCAACCCUCGUUGCCUGUUACAAGUGUCAGGCGAGACUGCUCCCUCACGGGAGAGGAAGGUGAGGAUGACGCCAGGUCAGCAUGUCCCUCGAUGCCUCGGGCUGCACCCGUGAUACAAUGGGUAGUACAACGAGACGCAAUGUGGUAACACGGAGCAAAUCUUUAUAAAACUAUCCUCAAUUCGGAUUGAGGUCUGCAACUCGACCUCAUGAAGUCGGAAUCG